rnacentral:rRNA from 1 species
AUUAUACCGCGAAACUGCGAAUGGCUCAUUAAAUCAGUUAUCGUUUAUUUGAUAGUACCUUACUACUUGGAUAACCGUGGUAAUUCUAGAGCUAAUACAUGCUGAAAAUCCCGACUUCGGAAGGGAUGUAUUUAUUAGAUUAAAAACCAAUGCCCUCUGGGCUCAGUGGUGAUUCAUAAUAACUUCUCGAAUCGCACGGCCUUGCGCCGGCGAUGGUUCAUUCAAAUUUCUGCCCUAUCAACUUUCGACGGCUGGGUAUUGGCCAGCCAUGGUGACAACGGGUAACGGAGGGUUAGGGCUCGACCCCGGAGAAGGAGCCUGAGAAACGGCUACUACAUCCAAGGAAGGCAGCAGGCGCGCAAAUUACCCAAUCCCAAUUCGGGGAGGUAGUGACAAUAAAUACUGAUACAGGGCUCUUUUGGGUCUUGUAAUUGGAAUGAGUACAAUUUAAAUCCCUUAACGAGGAACAAUUGGAGGGCAAGUCUGGUGCCAGCAGCCGCGGUAAUUCCAGCUCCAAUAGCGUAUAUUAAAGUUGUUGCGGUUAAAAAGCUCGUAGUUGAAACUUGGGCCUAGCUGGCCGGUCCGCCUCACCGCGUGCACUGGUCCGGCCGGGCCUUUCCCUCUGGGGAACCGCAUGCCCUUCACUGGGCGUGUCGGGGAACCAGGACUUUUACUUUGAAAAAAUUAGAGUGUUCAAAGCAGGCCUAUGCUCGAAUACAUUAGCAUGGAAUAAUAGAAUAGGACGUCGCGGUUCUAUUUUGUUGGUUUCUAGGACCGCCGUAAUGAUUAAUAGGGACAGUCGGGGGCAUCAGUAUUCAAUUGUCAGAGGUGAAAUUCUUGGAUUUAUUGAAGACUAACUACUGCGAAAGCAUUUGCCAAGGAUGUUUUCAUUAAUCAGGAACGAAAGUUAGGGGAUCGAAGACGAUCAGAUACCGUCGUAGUCUUAACCAUAAACUAUGCGAACUAGGGAUCGGACGAUGUUAUUUUUUGACUCGUUCGGCACCUUACACGAAAGUACAAG